GGUCCACCGACUAAUCCCGUUCACUCCGAGAGGCACUGAAACUGGCCCAAAAGGAAUCAUCACUUGUGGGAAUUGAAUCCGAGUUAUCUCGAAAUUCUCCACCACAAAGAGAGCUUAUUU